UACAGAGGGUGCAAGCGUUGUUCGGAAUCAUUGGGCGUAAAGCGCACGUAGGCGGCUUUGCAAGUCGGGUGUGAAAGCCUGGGGCUCAACCCCAGAAGUGCAUUCGAAACUGCAGAGCUUGAGUCUCGGAGAGGGUGGUGGAAUUCCGAGUGUAGAGGUGAAAUUCGUAGAUAUUCGCAAGAACACCAGUGGCGAAGGCGGCUCACUGGCCCGGUACUGACGCUGAGGUGCGAAAGCGUGGGGAGCAAACAGG
rnacentral:rRNA from 1 species